AUAUCUAUACGCGUUUCGCCUCAAAAGGCUUCAUCAAGUAGAUAAUAAAAGGGCCCCUUUUAUUAUCUACUUGAUGAAGCCUUUUGAGGCGAAACGCGUAUAGAUAU
rnacentral:miRNA from 1 species